rnacentral:lncRNA from 1 species
AUGUUCAGGUAACAGCAUACCUCAGCAUUAAACUUAUAUUCAUCAUACCAGUAUUCGCAUUGAUAAAAUGUAUCGUGUUCCAAUCUGAGCCACUACUGGACAAUCCGUAUGCAAAAAUACUACCAUCUUCGCUAAAUCUGCUAAAUGAUAUUGCAACCGUGCCAUCCUCAGAAAGAGUAUUUGGAUCAAGAAAUACUCGAGGCUCGCUAUCCAAGGACACAUGUAUUUAGGAAAAUCCCAUAAUUGUUUAAGUCUAUCAUGAAUAUCUUGACGUGAUUUGCAAGAAGCUAAAUAUGGUUUGGUUAAUGCAUUUUGAGCAUCGAUAAAUAAUUUUGUUUCUUCUGAGUUCGGGUCCUCCAACCAUCUGUACGGAUCAGUUAUCUGUCCGGACAAUUUCAUUCAUCAUAUUAUACAAACAUCCAAAAUACUUUGUGUUUAAAUAUAUUACAAAAAAUGCAUACACAUAUAAAGAAAAAGUUAACUAGAUGUGUAUAAAUAUUGCAGGAUUUCAUUAACAAAUAUAUUUAAUUAUACGAAA